rnacentral:lncRNA from 1 species
AUGCUAAUCCAGUUGCCCAAACUCAGCUACAAAGCAGGGAUCAUGGAGGCUGAGAGAGCCAGCUGCACGGCACCGAGGGUGGAGGACCAGGGAGCUCCUGUACCAAGCUUGUGCAUAGCAACCCCCAGAAUCUGUGGGAGGGAAGACAGCCCUGUGAUUACAGCUGCAGUAGGAAAUCCCUGCAAACGGAUUCUCCUGAUCAGCAGCAAUGACGAAUAUUAUCUCUCAGCAACCACGAAAGUUGUUCACCAUUGAAAAAAAUGAUUAACAACAAUAUAUGGUUCAAAUGUGGCGUAAGGGAAAUAGUGAUUUAAAGCCGACUCGUAAGUGGGAAUCGAAGUCAGCAGCAGGAUUGCAGAUUUCCCUGCUUGCAACCAAGCCGGAAAGAAAAAACUCCCACGUUCAUGAUGGCUUUGAGAAAAGAACAUAAAUCCACUGCCUGGUAAACUCUCAGGUAAGGGAUUGGUCAGCAGAUGCAGAAGCUUUUUUCGCCGGGUCAAUUCCACCGGAGGCAAGACCGUGACCGCAAACGAGAAAGGAUACGCUUGUGAAAGAUGCUUGUUGGCCAAGCCGGUCAUAAUUCAUGCUCCAGCGACACUAUGCCUGGAGGAAGGGGAAUGAAACAUUUAUGAAAAUGGCUCUUUCCCAGCCGCACAUCAUGUUCGUCAAAGGGAAGAAGGCAAAAAAAGCAGGAAUAAUUUCCCGAGAAACACCAGGCUGGUAGUGAUUUGUUUCUUUGUAUCUUUAGGACUAGAUUGCAUGUCUGAGGUUUUGGACAUGAACACACUGAGUGCUUCAUAUCCUUGAUUUUAUUGUUUCACUGCAUCUCAAAACAUCCUCCUGAACUACCCAGGAGUGAACUUGAUCUGCAGAGAGUUGAGGUGUAGCCUGAAGCAUCCCCAUCCGAAGCGAGACAUUUUCUUGCCAUGUCACUUUUAACCCUAAAAAAGAAAAAAAAAAAAGAAAAAAAAAAAGAAAAAAAAAAAAAAAAAAAAAAAGCAUGCACAGUUUGCAUUCUAUCCCAUGAUAUCCCCACACUUGUAGCAGUAACAAUCAUCUUACUCUCCCAUUGGAAGCCCAAAAUUGAAGACACUCUCCCAGGGUGACACUAAGGCAAUUUAACAUUCUGUCAUUCUUCCUGCCACUCAUUAGGCAUUGUGAGGCCUUCUCUGAGACUCAUGGUAAUUUGAUCCAAGGAGAAGGGCACAGUAGUUCACAACAAAGAGUAGAAUCCAACUUUGGUCAGAAAAUAACG